UACGAAGGGUGCUAGCGUUGUUCGGAAUUAGCUAGGGCGUAAAGCGCGCGUAGGCGGCUAUUCAAGGUCAGGGGUGUAAAGUCCUUGGGCUCCAAACCCAAGAACUUGACCCUUGAAACUGUAUAGCUAGAGUGUCGGAGGGGAUAGCGGAAUUCCUAAUGUAGAGGUGAAAUUCGUAGAUAUUAGGAGGAACACCGGUGGCGAAGGCGGCUAUCUGGACGACAACUGACGCUGAGGCGCGAAAGCACGGGGAUCAAACAGG
rnacentral:rRNA from 1 species